CCGAAAGCACCCGCUGCUCCGGUGGGCCCCUACGAGGUGUUCAAGAACAUGACGGAGGGCAGAGGACUUGUACAGGUAGCAGUCAGUGCAGUACUGGCGAGUGCUGUGCGAAAGAUAGUCAAUCCGCAAAGCACGGUAUUUGCCAGAAGAAACCUGGGCUUAAUGAAUCAUGCUCGACAGCAGCAUCGUCGUUCGGCCGACCCAACAGAGUAAACCAAGUUUUCUUGAAAGGAUGCCCUUGCAAGGACGGUCUGACGUGCGUCCACAAAAGUGCUAAAGACAUAACUGGGGUGUGCCAGCGGA
rnacentral:lncRNA from 1 species